rnacentral:rRNA from 1 species
AUACGGAGGGUGCAAGCGUUGUUCGGAAUUACUGGGCGUAAAGGGCGCGCAGGCGGCCUGCCAAGUCAGAUGUGAAAUGCCAUGGCUUAACCAUGGACGUGCAUUUGAAACUGGUGGGCUUGAGUACCAGAGGGGAAGGUGGAAUUCCCGGUGUAGAGGUGAAAUUCGUAGAUAUCGGGAGGAAUACCGGUGGCGAAGGCGACUUUCUGGCUGGAUACUGACGCUGAGGCGCGAAAGCGUGGGGAGCAAACAGGAUUAGAUACCCUGGUAGUCCACGCCAUAAACGAUGAAUACUAGGUGUAGGGGGUAUCGACCCCCUCUGUGCCGACGUUAACACAUUAAGUAUUCCACCUGGGGAGUACGGCCGCAAGGCUGAAACUCAAAUGAAUUGGCGGG